UCAUUUUUUCUUCUCUUAUUUCUCUCAUCUGAAAGGGGCGAGCUAGGUGCCAUCUUCAUCCGGAAAAUUCGUAUACAAAUCCGUCCCUCAUCCGAUUCUCAACAUGUGCUUCCAAAAGAAGCCCUAAAUCCUGGUAUGGGUAUUCCAAAUCAAGCCCUAAUUGAAAAUGUUCUCUCUCAUUUUCGUGUUUUCAGACAAACCAAAGCCCUAAUAGGAACGAAUCUGUGUUCGAUUUCUUCUGACAUCUGGGAUAAGCUUUUAAGGUGCGAUUUCUUCAGACAAAGCAAAGCCCUAAUAGGAACGAAUCUGCGUUCUUGAAACUGAUUUGUUUUAAUGUACUUUUUCCCUUUUCUUUGAAAUUGACUCAAUUUCAAAACAUAUGACAGAGAAUUUGAAAAAGUUGAAAUUGUCAGCGAAUUUGAAAUUUUUGAAAUUCCAGAAAUAUAUGCACAGGGU
rnacentral:lncRNA from 1 species